rnacentral:rRNA from 1 species
UGGGGAAUUUUGGACAAUGGGGGAAACCCUGAUCCAGCCAUCCCGCGUGUGCGACGAAGGCCUUCGGGUUGUAAAGCACUUUUGGCAGGAAAGAAACGUCAUGGGUUAAUACCCCGUGAAACUGACGGUACCUGCAGAAUAAGCACCGGCUAACUACGUGCCAGCAGCCGCGGUAAUACGUAGGGUGCAAGCGUUAAUCGGAAUUACUGGGCGUAAAGCGUGCGCAGGCGGUUCGGAAAGAAAGAUGUGAAAUCCCAGAGCUCAACUUUGGAACUGCAUUUUUAACUACCGGGCUAGAGUGUGUCAGAGGGAGGUGGAAUUCCGCGUGUAGCAGUGAAAUGCGUAGAUAUGCGGAGGAACACCGAUGGCGAAGGCAGCCUCCUGGGAUAACACUGACGCUCAUGCACGAAAGCGUGGGGAGCAAACAGG